rnacentral:rRNA from 1 species
UACGAGGGGGGCUAGUGUUGUUCGGAAUCACUGGGCGUAAAGGGAGCGUAGGCGGGAGCCUAAGUUGGGCGUUUAAUUCCGGGGCCCAACCCCGGGCGUGCACUCAAAACUGGGUUUCUUGAAUAGGGGAGAGGUCGGUGGAAUUGGAGGUGUAGCGGUGGAAUGCGUAGAGAUCUCCAAGAACACCCGUUGCGAAGGCGGCCGACUGGACCCAUAUUGACGCUGAGGCUCGAAAGCAUGGGGAGCAAACAGG